UCAUUAGUUUUAUUAUUUCAUUGUUACUGUGCUUUUAUUUAUUUAUUUUUUAUAAUUAAAAUUCAGAGUGAAGUGCCUCAGUCAAAAAUAGAAAAGACCUUCGAAUUUAAAGAACAUUUAAAACAUGCAACCUGUUGAUUCAAUGUCUGUCUUUCUUAGAAUUUAAAGAACAUUUAAAACAUGCAACCUGUUGAUUCAAUGUCUGUCUUUUUAUCACUAUACCGACUGUUUGGGGCUAGUUAACCGUAAUUUUAUGAGAUUAGGUGAUCAAAUAAUUGCAUAUAAGAAAAGAAAUUAUUUUCCUUAAUAAAAGAAGAAAAAUAAGAAGAAAUCCUUAAGUUAAUUUAUAGGGAUACUAACAUCACAUUUUAUUUAGUUUUUACAUUUGUUUAUAAAACUUUGACAUUAUUUUUAAAACUCUAUUUCUC
rnacentral:lncRNA from 1 species